UUUUUUCUUUCAUGCAUAAAUAAAAGAAAAAAAGGAAAAAACUUGAAUGUGCGCACCAUAGUCCAAACAGGGCCAGAAACCCACUGAGGUUAGGAGGGUCUCUC